CAGCCCUCUUAGACGAGGCCGAAAGACCUGGGACGCUAAAAUUCGGGUCCAGGCCGGUGUUUUUAGUCUGGUCCACGGCGGUGGGAUUCAGUCUGGCGAUCCGAACCACCAGUGAGACGUCUGAGGGUUGAAGCCAGGUGAUUGGAUCCUCGUCCGAGUACUCCAAAGAAAAAAUUGGAGCUCGCCACGGUGGGAGGGUCCAUACCAAGUGCCUGCAAAAUAGCGGAGAGACCCUCCUGGAUACAUCAGAGCCACUGCAAAAAAGUUGAGGUCCCCGAGGAUUCCACUUCCUCCACAGAAAUCAACUAGUAAAGGAAAGUCUCACUCGCGCUUGGUUGCUUCGGGGGUGAGGGGGGGCAGUGCUGAUUGGGCCCCCGUAGGGUAAGCCCGCACUCCAAUCUCCAUCCGAUCAACUUUAGGGCAGCCAGGUGCAGGUGUGUACAACCAUGGGAAGGUGGACCCUCUUGGUUACCUUGACUACGACGCUCACCCUUACAGGACCCCAGCUGACGCCAACAACAGCUGAACCACGAGGCAGACAGAAAAGAUGGACGCACGACAACUCGCACCUAAGAGAUAUGAUGCAAGACCACAUCCACCCUUGGAUGAACAAUGCCUGGUACCGUUAUAUCCACGACAGGACCAAGGUGGAAUCGGCAAAUACAGACUGUUAUGUCUGUUCUCAUAUGCCCAGCACAUCAACACACCCCACACUAUAUGGUGAAUAUAUGAACAACACUCAAGCAAAGUGUGCAGCCAGCUUAGCUGGCAUUGGAUUCCAACACAGCUGAAUCAUCACCAACGACACAAUCCCACAUGCUGUUGGACUUAGUAAUGGAACAUGUGAUCAACUCUUCUGGAUCGAUUUCAACGUGACAAACCGGAAUACAUCCAUCCACUUCCCAGUGUUUCUGGACUAACUCCCAGGGAAGAACCACUCCAUGUGUUAUCAACAAGAGAAAGGUAACACACCCGUUGGAAACACGACAAACUGCGUCCAAACUGCAGGCCUCGGAAAGGGCGCCCCUGUGAAUAUGAGUGGAUCUUCUAACGGCACGUACUGGGUGCAAGGAAUGGCCUAGCUAUGUGGACAACGGGCAUAUUUCAUACUGCCCCCAGGCUGGACAGGAACAUGUGCUCCUAUAUUCCUGUCAGACCACACUUUCAGGAUGACCGCAGUAAACAUCACUUCUACAGCACGCCGGAAAAGAAGAUCUACGUUCCCUAAACUUCAACCACAUGACCCGAAGCAACGUACCUGAGGAAUUCAAACUGUGGACUACCGGACAGAAAGUACUCCACACAUUGUUCCCCUGGGUGGGAACCGGAAAAAAACAUGCUGAGGAUCGAAACUCUGGACUACCGCUUUGGACUCUUCUUGAACGCUUCAUGCAAGAUCAACGAACAGCAAGAUCAGGAAAUCAAUGCAUUACGGAUCGCAGUGAUGCAACAUCAAGUAGCUUUGGACAUGAUACUGGCAGAGAAAGGGGGACUUUGCGUCCUCUUCAAAAACACCUGCUGCACUUACAUACCAGACAAUGUACACUCAUCAAACAUGACUGACGCCCCAAACGCCUUGAGACAGAUCCAGCAGGCCCAAAAUCAGGACUAUGUGAGUAAUACAAGUGACUGGUUUUCUUGGCUUUACACUGGCUCCUGGCUACAGGUGCUAAAAAGACUACUACUGCCUUUUCACUGUGCAAUACUUUUUGUUAAUAACCAACGGUGCAGUAGACUUCAAUACUUGAAAUACUUGCAAUUCCCUUGUAUUUGUAUUUAUUCUGUUUCUACCUUUUGUAUACUCUUAUUUAUAUGUAUGUCUCUGUAUUUAUAUAUGUGUAUAUAUAGUAUUCUGCUCACAUUCUGUAGCUUCUGUCGGUGCUGUGCUAUUUGGAAACCGAAUUUUACAGUUAAUAGGAUUAAUACAGUUUUAUCUUAUCUUAUCUUACUCAUCGGAGCUGGAGUAUUUUUUACUUUUAUUUUGUGUUUUGUAACAUGUAUCCUGCCAUGUCUAAAACUCAUGAUUAACUGCAUAAUCGUUUCCACUGUAGCUGCAUACAUUGCCGUGACAAAUGAUGAUGGUGAUGACCCCGACCUGUUGGAAUGUGAAGACUUUGUGUGAUUAAUGAUGAUGUGACAGAAAAUGUACAACAAGAUGUUACAUACUGAUAUCUCACUUAAAGGUUAUACUGACAACAGGAGGGAAUGUCAAUAGAAAAUUGUAUGUUUUAGUCAGUAUAAGCUUUUAAUGAUAUAAGUUUGCUUGUGAUAGAAUGCUGCAUGAUGAUCAUUUCCUUGCUUAGAACUGGUUGUUCUUUUCAUUGUUCAGGACUGAUUGUUCUUUAUAAAACAUGUUCUGAUAUUUGUAUCUGAGUCUUCUCACAGCGAUAGGAAGAAGUCAAACAAGCAGUUCUGACCUCCCACACACACACA